GCCGGCUGCCGGGCACGGCAGUGGGAGCCCAACGCAGCCGGGAGCCGCCCGCCCGCCCGGUCGUUCGUUCCUUCUUCGUUCGUUCUCCCGCCGCCAGCUCGGUCUGUCCCCGGGGGAGCCGCCGCGGAGAACCGUGCUUGCGGCCGCCGGCAAGAGUGAACGUGACCAUGGUGAUGGGCAGUGCUUUC
rnacentral:lncRNA from 1 species